UGUAUUUUCUGUUCGCUGAAACCCGCACAAAAUUAUUUCUAUAAGGUCAGCCUAUCUCUACAAAUUAACAAGGGCAAAUUAUUCUGUAGAAUACCGGCAUAUCUUUUUCUGGCAAAUGAAAAUCAAGAAGAUGUUAAUUCUAAUUGAAUACCACUUUAAGGAAAUUCAAGUUGGCCUCCUCCUCCUGAAGCUGACAGGAGUGGAACCCGGUGUGGUCUUCUUGUGCUGCAUCCCAUCUGCUUCAACGUUCUACACGCUGUGCAUUCGGAGAUGUCCUUCUGCAGAUCACUGUUGUAAACAGUUCUUAUUUGAACAUAUGUAGCCUUUCUGUUGAACGCUUGAAUGAGUUUGCCUGUUCUCCUCAGACUUCCCUCAUUGACAAGGUGUUUUUUUUUUCUCUCUGUACGCUGUAGAGACUGCAAUCUCUAUUAAUUGUAAUUCCAUAACUUUUUGCUUUAUAGUUAAGAACUCAUUUGUCAUUUCCAUAUGCCAAUUUACAGAAUGCUUAUUGCAGUCUAUUUGGUUUCACAAGUUUGAACUAAUUUUGAACUAAUUAAAGGACCACAAUGGAAAUAAGCCUUUGGGCUUUCUUGUGUUUUCAUCCUUUUGAUGAUUUCUGUAUCUGGGACAUCUCUGGCUAGAGGGGCCACUUGUAUUUUAAUGAUCAGUAAAGAAUUUCAAUUAAUCAAUCAAUCAA